GCUGGGUAUGGUGGUGCACACCUGUAAUCCCAGCUACUCGGGAGGCUGGGGCAGGAGAAUUGCUUGAACUCGGAAGGCAGAGGUUGCAGUGAGCUGAGAUUGUGCCACUGCACUUCGGCCUGGAGACAGAGUGAGACUCUGUCUCAAAAAAAAAAAAAAAAUCAUGUUUCAUGCUUCAGUUUACCUGUUCUUUCUUUUUUUAUUUUUUUUGUGACAGGGUCUCACUCUGCUGCCCAGGCUGGAGUGCGGUGGCGUGAUCUCGGCUCACUGCAACUUCCACCUCCUGGGUUCAAGCGAUUCUCCUGCUUCAG
rnacentral:SRP_RNA from 1 species